GGUGGCUCAGUGGUAGAGUGCUUGCUUUGCAUGCAUGAGGACCUGGGUUCGAUUCCUUAACACCA
rnacentral:tRNA from 1 species